GCCUGGGUGGCUCAGUCGGUUGAGCAUCCGACUUCGGCUCGGGUCAUGAUCUCACAGCUCGUGAGUUCGAGCCUCACCUCGGGCU